rnacentral:rRNA from 1 species
GGGUUGUGAGGUUAAGCGACUAAGCGUACACGGUGGAUGCCCUGGCAGUCAGAGGCGAUGAAGGGCGUGCUAAUCUGCGAUAAGCGCCGGUAAGGUGAUAUGAACCGUUAUAACCGGCGAUACCCGAAUGGGGAAACCCAGUGUGACUCGUCACACUAUCAUUAACUGAAUCCAUAGGUUAAUGAGGCGAACCGGGGGAACUGAAACAUCUAAGUACCCCGAGGAAAAGAAAUCAACCGAGAUUCCCCCAGUAGCGGCGAGCGAACGGGGAGGAGCCCAGAGCCUGAAUCAGCAUGUGUGUUAGUGGAAGCGUCUGGAAAGGCGCGCGAUACAGGGUGACAGCCCCGUACACAAAAGCGCAUGUGCUGUGAGCUCGAUGAGUAGGGCGGGACACGUGGUAUCCUGUCUGAAUAUGGGGGGACCAUCCUCCAAGGCUAAAUACUCCUGACUGACCGAUAGUGAACCAGUACCGUGAGGGAAAGGCGAAAAGAACCCCGGCGAGGGGAGUGAAAAAGAACCUGAAACCGUGUACGUACAAGCAGUGGGAGCACCCUUUGGGGUGUGACUGCGU